CUGGGACCCUCCUCACCCCCAUGAGCUGUUUCACCAUCAUUCAAAUCCCUGUUUCCAGAUUUGUGGAAAAUCAAACUCAUGAUGAGUAAGAGCCUGGAAUCUCAGCUUCCGGCUCACGUUGUGGAUCUUUUGUAAUAAAUGAUCUAAGUUCUGCAAAUAUUUCACAUAUUUAAACAAACCAGGUCACGUUGUGUUUUGCUGCUUAAUAACUUUAAAGCCUCAUGCAUGAGCGAACACGUGCUCACAAACGGAUGUUGCGAUAGCAUUUACAGGUCUUAUGGAUUUUCCCUGCAGUGCUAUUGACAGGCCGGCCAAUAAGCCACCAGGCUAAAGCAGAGCUAACCGUACGAUCCACUUAACAUCGACUUGACUGGAAGCUCCUGGACGACACAGCGGGAAAAAAAGAUCCGAGCUGAACCAAAUAGCAAAGGGUCUCACAUGUUGAUGUGUUUGUGACUCUUAGCAUUUUAGCAUGAGGCCAAAGACAUGGUGACGUCCAUUAAACCGACUCUGAAACACACACACACACACACACACACACACACACACACACACACACACACACACACACACACACACACACACACACACACACAAGCAAAGGUCCAGUCAGUGACCUAUUACAGCCAGGCUGCUUAGAGUGACCCCCACUGCCCCUUCACACCACCACCAUCCAUCCCUCUGCCCAGUUCCCCACCCGAAUGCUGAGGCAUCACUGCUCCUGAGCACACAGUCCUGUAGCACCCCCUGACCCCGCGCUGUCCCCCAUUAUAGAGCAGUCAGAAAGCUUUUAGGGGCUCCGGUAACGCUGAAAGAUUGAUGGCGUAAAAUAGGGUGGGGGAGGGGGAAGAGCAGGUGGUUAAGAAGAGAAUGUCCUGCUUAAUGGGUUGCCAGGAAUGUAAUUCAAUAAUUAUGAAAAGUGACUCAGGAGAGCUGCCUGGAUGGAUGGAUGGAUGGUCGGACGCACGGGUGCCGAGGAAGCGGGAGGCUGCCUCCACCGGCAGGAGCACCCUCGGCCUGAAACAGGUACGUGACCUUUCAGACAAAGUCAGCUCACGGUUUGAGGACACAAGAUGAACCACUGUGUAAAAAUGUCUUGUUCUUGUAAUUCAGACUCAUGGUAAAUGAGACUCAGAAACAGACAGUCGUGGAUCUUAACGGUGAGCGAUCGCUGUCCUGAGUAAAGUCACUGACGUGUUCCUUCGUAGGUCGCUCACCUUUGGUAGAAGUGUGUAUUUUAAGGAAACAGUUCUAGUCCAUGACCUGGUUUUCAUCCAUCAAUCCUCGAAUCCCCUAGAACCUGGGCUGAACCUCUGUUAUUGACACAACACUUACAGCUACUCUGUCACAUUCACGGAAAACAAUGAUAUCAAGUGGGCCUCAAGAUGGGACUACAUCCUGGUCUCCAUGCCUCACACCAGUGUCAACACUGUGAUUAUCAGUACGUUUAUUCACUGUGAGGUUCUGCAAAAACAGAAUUUUGCCAUCGUACAGUUGAAUCUUUACCAAAUCCUAUAAAAUAAAAGCGCUUGCUGAGAUUUCCUUUGCUCUGAAUAGACUACUGCUGUAAACACUGAGCGUUUUACCCAGACCUGCUAAUGUGCUAAACAGUGUUUAAUGGGUUCCUGUGAUCUGCAUCAGCUCCUCAUGUCCAGGUAGGAUGUCUGAGCUGUUCCUUCAAUCUUACAAAGUUUAGAAUCCACUAAAUGAUUUACCUAAAUGUCUGAGCAUCAUUGCAAAUUUAAUUUCCCUGAAGCCAAGCUGAGGUCAUGACGCGUCUUUAAGGUUAAAAUGGGGUCACGAUCCAAAAUCCAACAUAAAAUCAGGUUGAUAUCUUUAAAUAAGAGCAAACCAGGACUAACAUUCACCACUUAAACACAGGCCUGAUGAUUAAAAACCAAGAUUCUCUGAUCUCGUCGGCUCCUGACCUGAAUGAAUGCAGAUGCAUUUAUUACGACUGUUUAUGCGCUGUUUAAACUCGCUGUGCCUCCAACUCUGUCACAGGACAUAUAUAAAACCCUGCAGAGCUUCUUCACCGUCAAUACAGCGUCGUUCUUCCACUGGUGCCGUCGCAGCUCGGGACAGAAAACAGGAUCCAGGUCCACGAAGCUGCAUUAUGUUGGUUUUGUGUUUGAGCAGAUGUUUUGUCUUUAAGUGUUGCUGCUUUUUGUUCUUGUUCAGAGUUGACACUGUAAUUUAUUUACAUUAUAUUUAUACUUCACAGCUUCCGAAACUUUCCCCAUUUAAAAGAGCAUAGUCUCAUUCUCCGCUCUCUGAAACAAAAUGAAUACUUUAUUUUUUAUCUUUGGCAACAGUGAAACAGGAUUUUUACUCACUUUCUGCUCCACAUUUCAAUUUAUACCAACUUUACCUAGUAGAUUCAGCGUUACACAAUAAAGUAUCUUGCAGUAUUUUGCAGUUUUGAAGCAAUUUGCAAACUGAAGCGUCUGCAUGUGACAGGAGUACGUCAAUAACUCCUCUGUUUGCUGGAGGAAGUCUCCCCGUCAGCUCCUCCUCAUCGCUCAUCAUGCUCCCUCUUCCCUCUCCACCCAGGGUCUACUUUUGCUCUGUGUCUUCUUACUUUUACUCCCCAAGAUGUAUUGAUAAUUUCCAGCAAAAAUACAAUUUCAGUUUAUUCUACAGAGCAAAAAAUCUAAUAGUUGAGUCCUCAAUUCGAUUGUGUUUUACCGGAGUGGAGAACAAUAAACAGGGAGGAGGGCUCCGUUGCAGACGUUCGCCAUGAGAUUAUUGUUCAAAAGACAUCUGAUAUGAUUACAGGAAGCAAUAGAUGAUAAUUACAUCAGAACAUGACUUUUCCUCGGCAAACACUUAUAUUCAUCUGGGUUAUGCAUCGGCCCCAUACUGAAAUGUGGCAACGCUUGAGAUGACAUGGCCUGCGAGUCGCUGGGAGGAGGGAGGUGCUGUUUGCAGUCAUCACAGGGUCAUGAGUCCAUUUGUGAGGUUUGGUGUGUUUGUUAAUCUGAGAAAGGACCCAGUGUUUGUUGGAGCUAAUCUGAUCAGACAAAUGACAGAAAAUAGAUCAGAGCCUGGACAAACGGCGUUUCAAAAGAUCAUUACUUCUGGUAUAAAGAUGUAAAAUGUCACUAUCAAAUGAAAUGAAUCCCAGGUUUUAUUGAAAAUCUUGGACUUUCUGACAAAACUACCUGUAAAAAUGUCAGCUUCAACUCUAGGAAUGUGAAUGUCAUGCGUUUUAGAAAAAGUUCAAGGGUUCAACUGAUGUCAUGUGCUCGUCACAACAAACAUUGUGUUGGUAGAGAAUCAACUUCUUUCGCAUUAUGUCUAAUGACUGAAUCCGCAGUUUAGAGCAUUAACAAGAAUCAGCUUCCAGAGAACUUCACCUAAAUUAAUCCAGUUAAUUGAACAAUGUGAUUUUUAAACGUGAAAUGUUGAUUUAAUUUGGAUGAAAUAAAAACUGAUUAUUUUUAUAUGACUUUAUUAUAGUCUGUAAUUCAACAGCGGGUUUAGUUUUAUUCUUGUCAGAUAAACUUCAUGUUAAAAUCAACAGCAGUUAUAACUUUUUGCAGAAGAACCAGAAUUUUAACAUGUUUACACAAAAUAAACAAAAAGCUAAAUUCACAUAAUAUGAAUAGUUAUGGUCAUUCUGAAUGCAAUGACUGAAUGUGAGACACGUGAACAGCUACAGGCAGAUGAACGGGUGGAUGAAGCAUCUGGAGGCUCCUCCUGAUGUUUCCACCUGUGUGUUUGUGCGGCUCUGGCUUCAUCGCUGCCUUUGAGCCAAGCGCUCCGGAAGUUGGCAUCAGAACAGAAGACGUGUGGCAAAAAAAAAAAAGCAAAACAACAACAAA